UUUUUUAUAUCAUGGAGAUAUAUUGUUUUGUCAAAUCUAGAUAUUGGACAGCAGGAAGCAUGGGUUGAACUAUCUAGAUAAAGCUCCUCUAUUGGCCUUGUAUUUUGUGACAAAACAGAAUAUUGGUUAAAGAUCUCGAUAACGUAAGCUGUGGCAGCAACCAAGUCAUACCUAGGACUGUUGGCGGCAAUACCAGUUGUGGACUUGGGAGGGUGAUUUUGCAACUCAGGCUAGCUGAGAAAAUGAGCUGGACAGUGACCAUGAAUCCAGGCUUUUGAGGCCUCUAUAAUGCAAGCUGAUUGCAUUUUUUCCUUCUACUUAAGUACUCCCCAGUCCCCACACUUGUUUUAUAUUUCUCAUUGUGUUUACUUGUAUCAUUCACCCAAUAAUUCAUAAACCACAAUGCAUGUUUACUCCCUAUGCAUUUCCAUCUUGGUUCAGAUCUGACUCCAGUGACCUAAACAACACUGCCAAAUCCACCAUGAUCAGAUAUACUCUGUCCUUUGUAGUUGUUGAAAUCUUAUCCAUGAUUCAGAUUUAUGCGAGAUUGAUUCGAAUGAGAUGAUGGACUUGAUCUCCAAACAAAUGAUUUAGAUCUACAAGACCUGAAGCUAAUCUUCUGAGGCAUCUUUGAAAUUUGAAGCGGUUGACUUUGUUGAUUACUCAUGUUAACUAACGAGAAACUCAGGCAUCUCUGAAAUCUGAAAUCUGCUUUUAUUGAUUUAGUUAGUUAUCUGUUGCGUUGGAUUAUUUAGUACGAUAUGUUUUAUUACUGCUGUUGCGUUGGAUUAUUUAGUACGAUAUGUUUUAUUACUGCUAAUGGUUUUCUAUACAUGCUGGAAUAUUGAUUGCCUUGCGUUUCUCUAGAUUAGUGGGAUAGAGCAAACUAGCUUCUUAUUUCAGCAAGCUUCAUAGCUUGUCCCUGGUGGUUCUCCUGAUCCAGAAUGUGUGGUGGUAUGCAAGAUUGCUUUUGUUAGUGCCGUCAGAUUGGCAGAUCUAAAGAAGAAUGCUGAUGAACAAGAAAGUCUGGUGUUUGCUACUUUAGUUGGUGACCUGGUAGUCCGAGGACUAAUAUUACUAUCAGUUGUUAUGACUUUUUUUAUUUUUUAAUUUUUAUUGUUGGUUCUUGUAUUUGAAAUAGAGAGUUUAUUUGUAUUGAUAACUUAUUCUUAACUCAAUAACUCUCCAACGACCAUAUGAAGAUUUCUAGGGUGAGAGAAAUAUGAAAUGUUUUUG